GGGAAAGUGGCUCAGUGGUAGAGUGCUUGCCUUCCAUGCAUGAGGCCCUGGGUUCGAUUCCUUAGCACCA
rfam:Dipodomys ordii ctg_broad_rename0006486, whole genome shotgun sequence.